rnacentral:rRNA from 1 species
GGGUCAGUAGGUUGGUCGUGCCACCGGUACGCACUGGUCUCACUGAUUCCUCCUUCCUGAAGAACCGUAAUGCCAUUAAUUUGGUGUUGCGGGGAAACAGGACUGUUACUUUGAAAAAAUUAGAGUGUUUAAAGCAAGCUAACGCUUGAAUACAUUAGCAUGAAUAAUGAAAUAGGACGAUCGAUCCUAUUUUGUUGGUUUCUAGGAUUGACGUA